UUUUAAUGCUACGUUUUAACUGCUAUUUCCCUACAUUUCCUGCGUUAUUUCCUUAAUAAAACUCUGUUUAGGAAAGUUUCCAUUCUUUGAUUGGGAAAGUUCCUAAUUGUAGAAAGUUUCCGUUUUGUAGUUUCUAUUUUCCAUUUUUAGAAAGUUUCCAUUUUAGUUUAGGAAAGUUUCCAUUUCUUAUUUUAGAAAGCUUCUAUUUUCAGGUCUUUGGAAUAAAUAAGCUGAAUUGAGUUCAUAAAUGGAAAGAGAAGCUUCAUGAAGAUGACAUGGCAAGGAAAUGACGUGGAAAAUCAGAAAAUAUAAUGCCAAGAGGAAAUCAAGGAAGAGUUUUUAAAAAGAAAAAUAUAUUUUCCUUGGGGAUUAAAUUUGCCGUGUAAUACUUAAGAAGAAAAACAAGGUGACAACAUGGGAAUUAAAGAUGAUUGAUUGAGGAUUUCAAGGAGAGAUUUUCUUGGGAGACUUUUAUGGGAAGGAAAUAUUGUUGGAGGAAUAAUUUGGUGUGAUUGCCAACGUGAAAAUCAGAAAUAAUCAAGGAGAUGACGCCAAGAGAGAUUCAAGGGAGAAAUAAAAGGAAAGAGAAAAAGGUGGAGACCAAGAAAAGCUGAAAACGUGUCUAGGUGCAUCCCUAAAUUCCCUAAAGGAAUAUUAGCCGAAAUUCAUGAAGAAAAUCAGAAUAAUUUCAAGGAAAUUCGGCAAUUAAAUAUUAGGGAGGUAUUUUAGAGAAUUUUGAUUGGUUGGAACACAUCACACGGAUUACUUGGCAUUCUAUGAUUGGUUGGACUACAUCACAAAGCUUACUUGGCGAAUUCUCAUUGGUGGAAGCUAUGUGGAAAUUUCUGAUUGCUUUGUGAACCCUAGCCGUGCUCCUAUAUAUACCCACAUCUUUGACGUUGAAAGGAGUUCCACAUCCCUUAGAAAAAUUCAGAAAAAUUAUAUUGUUGCCGUGAGCUUCUUCCAUUUUCUCUCCAUCCUCUAAAGCAAGCCACGGAGUUCAAGCAAGGCCGAAGGGAGAAGAAGGAGCCGUGACUAUUCCUCCACCAUCCACCAUUGAAGACUUGCUUUCAAGCUUCAAGGAUCACAACGAAAAUCAUUCAUCCUCAUCUUCCAUCCACGGUGUGUACCCUCAAUCCCCGGAAUAGAACGAUCCCUAUUUGCUCUAUGCUACUAAUGACAUUUCAGGGUUAAAUUAUGCGCUUGCUUAAAGCGUAUCACACAGCCAAGCAGGCUACCGCCUGAGCCCCGGCUUACCCCCAGAUCAUCCUUGACGUGCCGCCACGCGCCCCGCCAAGACAGCAUCAGAAGCUCCAGAAGCUGGGAAUUGAAGCAUAUCAGUCCCACAUCGAAAACAUGGAGAAGAUCAGCUCCCUCCUCACCUAUAAAAGGUAACGGAAGCUCUGAGAAUAUCACAAGUAGCAGUCCGCCCAUCGGACCAGCGUUAACCAAGGUUUAGCUACCGCUGAACUUUAAACAUUAACAUUAGCGCCGUCUGUGGGAACCUCUGAACAAAAGGCCAUCCCACCACAACCACCAUGACUAACGGUAGCGGGGGAAACGCUGAGGAGCAAGCGGAUCAAUCCGCCAACCCCCACCCCACCAACCCCGCGGCUAACGUUGACCCAGCGGUUAAUGUUAACCGUGCACUAUUUAACACGCCGGCCAACCCUAGCGUGGGGCCCCAGGGCUCAUCCCAGGUCCCGCUGACCCAAACUGUAGUGGGACCUAGCCGGGCAGCAGCCGCCCACCGAUCCAGGACCUCGCCGCUUUGUAUGAGCUGGCAUUAGCGGACCUCCACAAGGCAAACAGGGAGCGCGAACAAGAACGCUGAGAGAAGGCGGAGACCCAAAAGCAGGUGGCCACACUGAUGUCAAGGUUCGACGAACUAAAAAAAGGCGCUGGAGGCAAACGCCAACACCAAUGACUAAAAUAUCGAGUAUCGAGGAAAUUAAUAUCGAUAGUCCGGAAAAUGAAAAUUUCGACGGAAAUAUCGAUAUCGGUAAAUAAUCGAGAAAAAUGAUGUAAAUUUGAAUAAAAACAUGGAAAUUUUACAUGAAACUUUUAGAAAUGUUUAUUAAUUAUCUACUA